rnacentral:rRNA from 1 species
CAUUCACGGAGAGUUUGAUCCUGGCUCAGGACGAACGCUGGCGGCGUGCUUAACACAUGCAAGUCGAACGAUGAACCACUUCGGU